UACGAAGGGGGCUAGCGUUGCUCGGAAUCACUGGGCGUAAAGCGCACGUAGGCGGCUUCUUAAGUCAGGGGUGAAAUCCUGGAGCUCAACUCCAGAACUGCCCUUGAUACUGAGGAGCUUGAGUCCGGGAGAGGUGAGUGGAACUGCGAGUGUAGAGGUGAAAUUCGUAGAUAUUCGCAAGACACCAGUGGCGAAGGCGGCUCACUGGCCCGAUACUGACGCUGAGGUGCGAAAGCGUGGGGAGCAAACAGG
rnacentral:rRNA from 1 species